CCUGAUGUCUCAUAUUGAAUACACCCUUUGGACUCUGGAGUCUCUGAAGGACUGUUUAGAACUCAGCUGGAUGUUCAGGAUUCAGGCUUGGAUCUAGCUAGGUAUCUUCCAGUUCAAGCAAUGGGGAUAGUGAUGCUGCUCUGGGCCCUGGCUCUGCUCCCAAUCGUAGCUCCAGAGACUCUCAACCCGCAGUAUGUGGUAGUGAUUCCAGCCAUCAUUCACCAUCCCAGCCAAGAGAAGUUCUGCAUCCACCUCAGCUGUCUCCCUGAGACAGUCCACCUGGCAAUCACCCUGGAGAUGAAAAUCCAGAAUCACACCCUGGUGGAGAAAGACGUGGAGAAGCCAGGCAUCUUUGAGUGCAUCAGCUUUCAGGUGAACCCAGGAGCUGUGGCUGCUGCAGUAGACAGCACUCUCACCUUCAAGUCCAAUAUGAACCUAGCAACCCUUCCUGCCCUGGGUGUAUUGGUUGUACUCUGUGCUACUGCAUGUGACAGUCCCUGCAGUGUGCUCUGUCCACACAGGUGCAAUCCCUACCCAACAUCUCCUGGCAGAACCUGCUGCAGUCAAACAGGUUGGAAAACAUGUCCACUGCCUGAGCCAAGACUUACUCCAGGGUUGCAUUUCAGGACUUUAAAUCAUUCUUAAUUCCAGCCAGUGGCUAGAUGUGAAGCCAAGGCAAGGGAUUGUGGAUUUGUCCUUCCUGUUGGCCUCUGAAGUAGCUCUGGGGACAUAUGCCAUCAGACUGGAUGAAGAGGAAAUUACAGAUGACAAGCUAGGACUAUUCACGGUGGAGGAAUAUGGUACACCUAUGGCAAGCCUGUCCAGGGAGAAUUAGAGGUCAAUCUGACUCGAGCUGUAGAUCCUUUUGCAGAAACGGGAAACACAACACUCUCUCUCAUCAGCAAGGAGUUUAAGAGACA